rnacentral:rRNA from 1 species
UACGUAGGGGGCAAGCGUUGUCCGGAAUUAUUGGGCGUAAAGAGCGCGUAGGCGGUCCGGUAAGUCGGCUGUGAAAGUCAAGGGCUCAACCCUUGAAAGCCGGCCGAUACUGUCGGACUAGAGUCCGGAAGAGGCGAGUGGAAUUCCUGGUGUAGCGGUGGAAUGCGCAGAUAUCAGGAGGAACACCAACGGCGAAGGCAGCUCGCUGGGACGUUACUGACGCUGAGACGCGAAAGCGUGGGGAGCAAACAGG